AUAAUUCACAUACAAUUCAACAGCUUAAAUAUAUUAAAAUGAGUUAUGCAAUCAAAAUUUUAGAACACUUUAUACAGUCUUAUCCAUUAUUAGCUUCCCAACCCCACAUCUUUCAGUUCUUUACUUUUACCUCAAAGAUACUGAAUCAUGUUUCAUAUAACCAUCCACUUCGAGUCACAUUUUUAGGUGAUUACUAAGCAUACAAAGCCAUGAUGCAUUAUGUAAAUUUAAGUCCUCCCCUCUGUAUCUGAAGGAACCAGGGGGGAGUGGGCUACAAGUUGAGCUGCUGUCUACAAGGUGGAACAGACUGAACCCACCAGAUGGGGUUGCCCGCUCCUGUAAAGCUUUACAAACUCAUACACUUUAUCUACAACUACUGACCUCGAGCUUUCCAGUACAAACUACCACCCAUUCUCUCUACACCUUGAAAGAGAUACAGUCAGUUCCAUCCUGUCUUCUAGGGUUGCUGUGAGUCAGCAUCGAUUCGAUGGCAGCAAGUUUGAAUUGAGAAGCAACAAUGUAAAGGCUCUCUCGUAUGAAUGAAAUUUCAAAUACAUAACCAGGCACUGAAAGAAAAAGCACUGCAUAGCACAUUAAAAAGUCUAGUUACAGAUUUUCUGAUAUACUAUGACAACUUAAAGAAAUCAACUAUUGGGUAUAUUCUUCAGGCUGAAGCUUCUGUAGGACUAAUCCUUAGCAAGACUACCCAACCUGCAUCAUUCUCUUAACUGGACUUUUUCCUUCUCCCACUCGAGACCCUGUGCUCUAACAGGCUGGACCACACCCAUGGGUUUCUAAGUCUGGUGUGUGCUGCUGGCUGUCAAGUGGGCUCCAAGGCAGAUUAAAAGGAGGGAAGGCUGGGGUCAAGGUACUUAUUCCAUUGGCUCAUUUACCUGUGAACUAACCUCAGGCUGACUGCUGAACCAAAUGCCACUGCUUCUUUCAGGUGAAACCUACACUUACCUAUUGGGAAGAGCUCAGUUGCUGCUCACACCAAAGUCAAUGCAUCAUUUACUGUGGUUCCCUUAUACCUACUCUGAUGGAAAUAAUUCCGUUCUAAAUAAAUCAUUUUGAUUUUUAGCAGUGGCACUGGCUAACAACUCCUUAUUUCACUUUACAAAGUCCCUUUCUACUCUCCUGUCAUACGAUGUGAGUUACUUGAUAGUAUACAGUAAAAACCUGUUUGCUUAUGGCCAGCCAAACUGAUUUUUGUCUUUAAGUUACACCAGGAAGGCCCAUCAAUACUGACUGAGGAAUGGAAGAUUUCCCAAGUGGGGUGCUGGAAACAUUCAUACUUGCACGUGAGCUCAUGAUGUCGUUCAACUGCAGACAGUUGGGGAACUGCUGCAUACAGUGUUCCUUGGGAGCAGUAAAGGAGCAGUAUGUGCUGAGCUACAGAACUCUGUCAAGCUAUGUGAAAAUCAAGCGUGGGAACAGGGAGCAUAUCUAGGAACACUGCCAGUAUUGACUCUUUAAAAAUAAAAAGCUGUGGUCCUUCGGGGCUGCAGUCUAGUACCCUC